UACGUAGGGGGCAAGCGUUGUCCGGAAUUAUUGGGCGUAAAGAGCGUGUAGGCGGCCAGAUAAGUCCGCUGUGAAAUCUCGAGGCUCAACUUCGAGCUGUCGGUGGAAACUAUCUGGCUAGAGUCCGGGAGAGGAGAGUGGAAUUCCUGGUGUAGCGGUGAAAUGCGCAGAUAUCAGGAAGAACACCCGUGGCGAAAGCGGCUCUCUGGAACGGUACUGACGCUGAGACGCGAAAGCGUGGGGAGCGAACAGG
rnacentral:rRNA from 1 species